UGUCAAGGGAUGGGAAUUGAACCCACGACCUUCCGCUUACCGGGCAGAUGCCAUGACCACUAGGCUACCCUGGAC
rnacentral:tRNA from 1 species